rnacentral:rRNA from 1 species
CAAUAGCGUAUAUUAAAGUUGUUGCGGUUAAAAAGCUCGUAGUUGGAUUUCUGGUUUGGAUGACCGGUCCGCCCUCUGGGUGAGUAUCUGGCUCAGCCAUUCCAUCUUGCUAGAGAACGCGAGUGCUUCACUGCAUCCGUGGUAUCUAGCCUUUUACUUUGAGGAAAUGAGAGUGUUCCAAGCAGGCAUCCGCCUUGAAUACGUUAGCAUGGAAUAAUAAGAUAGGACCUCGGUACUAUUUUGUUGGUUUUGAGGACUGAGGUAAUGAUUAAUAGGGAUAGUUGGGGGCAUUCGUACUUAACUGUCAGAGGUGAAAUUCUUGGAUUUGUUAAAGACGAACUACUGCGAAAGCAUUUGCCAAGGAUGUUUUCAUUAA